rnacentral:lncRNA from 1 species
AAAAACAACAUCUCUUGUUUCCUAAAGAAGAUGAUGCCUGGACAAGCAGCACAAGUCAUUCAGGAGGAAGAGGGUAAUUCAGUUGAGUUUCCUGAGCUACCCGGCUGCUGUGAUUCAACAACCACCAGGAAAUUUUGAUGAUGGUGCUCUCCUGAGCUCCUCCCUGUCCCAGGGAAGACAAAAUCAUUGAAACUGUGCAAAUAAAGUGUUAGUUUGCUGGAAUGAGGUCUCAUGGCUGUUUAUGCGGUGGUUGGCUGCUCAGGACAGGGAGAAGGCAGUUGCUUCAGAUUGGCCAUCUUGGCCCAUCCUGCUUCACGUCACUUUCUAUAAAAUGCCCGCCUCUCCAGGAAUAACACCAUUACAUAACUUUGCCUGAAACAAACAGAAGGCUCAUUACACUCAUCAUGGGCUGACUUACUUCACCUAUAAUGAACAUGCCAUGGAAAUACUAGUGGAUGAAAUGUUCCAUUUUCUUAGGGAUGAGACAGGAAAAUGGUGUACCUUUUGAAUUUAAUUAAUUAAAAAUUUUAGUUUGG